GAUGAACGCUGGCGGCGUGCCUAAUACAUGCAAGUCGAGCGAACAGAUAAGGAGCUUGCUUCUUUGACGUUAGCGGCGGACGGGUGAGUAACACGUGGGUAACCUACCUAUAAGACUGGGAUAACUUCGGGAAACCGGAGCUAAUACCGGAUAACAUUUUGAACCGCAUGGUUCUAAAGUGAAAGAUGGUUUUGCUAUCACUUAUAGAUGGACCCGCGCCGCAUUAGCUAGUUGGUAAGGUAACGGCUUACCAAGGCGACGAUGCGUAGCCGACCUGAGAGGGUGAUCGGCCACACUGGAACUGAGACACGGUCCAGACUCCUACGGGAGGCAGCAGUAGGGAAUCUUCCGCAAUGGGCGAAAGCCUGACGGAGCAACGCCGCGUGAGUGAUGAAGGGUUUCGGAUCGUAAAACUCUGUUAUUAGGGAAGAACAAAUGUGUAAGUAACUGUGCACGUCUUGACGGUACCUAAUCAGAAAGCCACGGCUAACUACGUG
rnacentral:rRNA from 1 species